GCCAAGGUGGUGUAGCGGUUAGCAUCCGGGCCUGUGGAGCCCGUGACCCGGGUUCGAAUCCCGGCCUUGGCC
rnacentral:tRNA from 1 species